UUCUCAAAGUGGAUCAACAUCUAUUGCACAUCAUGUUCAACACCAAGAUGCUCGAUACAUUCUAUUCCUUUCUCCUCAUCAGCAUCAUAGCACAUAUAAUCAUCAACUCUAUAGCCCACACUCCCAAUUAGAGAAACCAUAGUAAAAAAUGAUAUGUCUGACUGGUCUUCUAACCAUAGAAUCUCUAGCUAAGAAAUGUAACCAAAUUUUCCAUUUUGGGCCAUCAAUAUUGCACCACAAGUUGGAAUACCUUGCACCACCAGCAGGGAAGGAAGCUUGCGC
rnacentral:lncRNA from 1 species